AGAUUGAACGCUGGCGGCAGGCCUAACACAUGCAAGUCGAGCGCGAAAGUUCCUUCGGGAAUGAGUAGAGCGGCGGACGGGUGAGUAACGCGUAGGAAUUUGCCCAGUAGUGGGGGACAACUCGGGGGAAACUCGAGCUAAUACCGCAUACGCCCCAAGGGGGAAAGCAGGGGAUCUUCGGACCUUGCGCUAUUGGAUAAGCCUGCGUCGGAUUAGCUAGUUGGUGGGUAAGGCCUACCAAGGCAACGAUCCGUAGCUGGUCUGAGAGGAUGAUCAGCCACACUGGGACUGAGACACGGCCCAGACUCCGUACGGGAGGCAGCAGGUGGGGAAUAGUUGGACUAAGUAGGGGGUAACCUGGAUCCAGCCACGCGCGUGUGUAGAAGAAGGCCUUAGGGUUGUAAAGCUACUUUCGAGGUAGGGAAGGAAAAGCGAGGCGGAC
rnacentral:rRNA from 1 species